GAUUAGAAAGCGAAGUUUUGCAUUUAGUUUCGGCCUAAACUCUGGUGGUUUCACCUCUAAUUU
rnacentral:tRNA from 1 species